rnacentral:rRNA from 1 species
CUUUUAGGUCUAAAGUUCCGACGCCUCAGGAUGGGUCUGCGGCCUAUCAGGGUAGUAGUGGGUGUAAAGUACCUACUAGCCUACGACGGGUACGGGUUGUGAGAGCAAGAGCCCGGAGAUGGAUUCUGAGACACGAAUCCAGGCCCUACGGGGUGCAGCAGGCGCGAAACCUUUACAAUGCUGGCAACAGCGAUAAGGGGACCUCGAGUGCUACGAUACAAUCGUGGCUGUCUAGUUGCCUAAAAAGCAAUUGAUAGCAAGGGCCGGGCAAGACCGGUGCCAGCCGCCGCGGUAACACCGGCGGCUCGAGUGGUAACCGCUAUUAUUGGGUCUAAAGGGUCUGUAGCCGGCUUAGUUAGUCUCUUGAGAAAUCUGGCCGCUCAACGGUCAGGCGUUCAGGGGAUACUGCUAAGCUCGAGACCGGGAGAGGUGAGAGGUACUUCAGGGGUAGGGGUGAAAUCUUGUAAUCCUUGAAGGACCACCAGUGGCGAAGGCGUCUCACCAGAACGGAUCUGACGGCAAGGGACGAAAGCUAGGGGCACGAACCGGAUUAGAUACCCGGGUAGUCCUAGCCGUAAACGAUACUCGCUAGGUGUCGGCCACGGUGCGACCGUGGUCGGUGCCGUAGGGAAGCCGUG